rnacentral:rRNA from 1 species
AUUGAACGCUGGCGGCAGGCCUAACACAUGCAAGUCGAACGAGUGGCGGACGGGUGAGUAAUGUCUGGGAAACUGCCUGAUGGAGGGGGAUAACUACUGGAAACGGUAGCUAAUACCGCAUACCAUCGGAUGUGCCCAGAUGGGAUUAGCUAGUGGGUGGGGUAACGGCUCACCUAGGCGACGAUCCCUAGCUGGUCUGAGAGGAUGACCAGCCACACUGGAACUGAGACACGGUCCAGAACCCUACGGGAGGCAGACGUGGGGAAUUUUGGACAAUGGGCGCAAGCCUGAUGCAGCCAUGCCGCGUGUAUGAAGAAGGCCUUCGGGUUGUAAAGUACUUUCGGCGGGGAGGCGUUACCCGCAGAAGAAGCACCGGCUAACUCCGUGCCAGCAGCCGCGGUAAUUC